rnacentral:rRNA from 1 species
AGCUAGUUGGUGGGGUAAAGGCUCACCAAGGCGACGAUCUGUAGCGGGUCUUAGAGGAUGAUCCGCCACACUGGAACUGAGACACGGUCCAGACUCCUACGGGAGGCAGCAGUGGGGAAUUUUGGACAAUGGGCGCAAGCCUGAUCCAGCCAUGCCGCGUGAGUGAAGAAGGCCUUCGGGUUGUAAAGCUCUUUCGGCCGGGAAAAAAUCGCUUGGGUUAAUACCCUGAGUGGAUGAUGGUACCGGAAUAAGAAGCACCGGCUAACUACGUGCCAGCAGCCGCGGUAAUACGUAGGGUGCGAGCGUUAAUCGGAAUUACUGGGCGUAAAGCGUGCGCAGGCGGUUUUGUAAGACAGGCGUGAAAUCCCCGGGCUCAACCUGGGAACUGCGUUUGUGACUGCAAGGCUAGAGUAUGGCAGAGGGGGGUGGAAUUCCACGUGUAGCAGUGAAAUGCGUAGAGAUGUGGAGGAACACCAAUGGCGAAGGCAGCCCCCUGGGCCAAUACUGACGCUCAUGCACGAAAGCGUGGGGAGCAAACAGGAUUAGAUACCCUGGUAGUCCACGCCCUAAACGAUGUCAACUAGGUGUUGGGUGGGUAAAACCAUUUGGUACCGUAGCUAACGCGUGAAGUUGACCGCCUGGGGAGUACGGCCGCAAGGUUAAAACUCAAAGGAAUUGACGGGGACCCGCACAAGCGGUGGAUGAUGUGGAUUAAUUCGAUGCAACGCGAAAAACCUUACCUACCCUUGACAUGCCAGGAACUUGCCAGAGAUGGCUUGGUGCCCGAAAGGGAGCCUGGACACAGGUGCUGCAUGGCUGUCGUCAGCUCGUGUCGUGAGAUGUUGGGUUAAGUCCCGCAACGAGCGCAACCCUUGUCGUUAAUUGCCAUCAUUUAGUUGGGCACUUUAACGAGACUGCCGGUGACAAACCGGAGGAAGGUGGGGAUGACGUCAAGUCCUCAUGGCCCUUAUGGGUAGGGCUUCACACGUCAUACAAUGGUCGGUACAAAGGGUUGCCAAGCCGCGAGGCGGAGCCAAUCCCAGAGAGCCGAUCGUAGUCCGGAUCGCAGGCUGCAACUCGCCUGCGUGAAGUCGGAAUCGCUAGUAAUCGUGGAUCAGCAUGUCACGGUGAAUACGUUCCCGGGUCUUGUACACACCGCCCGUCACACCAUGGGAGCGGGUUCUGCCAGAAGUAGGUAGCCUAACCGCAAGGAGGGCGCUUACCACGGCGGGGUUCGUGACUGGGGUGAAGUCGUAACAAGGUAGCCGUAUCGGAAGGUGCGGCUG